rnacentral:lncRNA from 1 species
AUGGCUCAAAAAGUUGAUGUCGUUCACAAGUUGAAAGAACUCUCAUUCUACGUUAGCAAAUCGAUGACCUUAAAAUCAACCGUGAAUAAGAGUAUCAUCUUGAUUUGGUGCGCAAUUUUUGUCGUCUCGAUUCUUCUCAUUUUGCGGUAUUCAGUGAAAAUUCCUUACAACUCAACAGGAAAUGUUCGUCUUGCGGGAGUGACGACGGUUACCGAUCCAGAUGAAGAUAUCCCGACCAUUCGGAUCAAGUCUACACCUGUAAUGGGAGUGUGGAACGUGCCAACCAAUCGCUCGAACCUCUCUUUUUUAAUUAACUCCAAUAAAAGUAGUAUGAUUUUCGAUGAUGGUGACAGAACUGCCGGAAACCCGAAAAAUUCAACUGUGACCUAUGUAGAACGGGACGAUGACUUAACCGAUCGCCGAGAUCUCUUGGAUCAAACAAUUUUAAGAAAGGGUGUGAAUGGUGCAAAAGAUUCCACCGAAACCUUAGAAUUCUCUUCAAAAAUGCAAAGAGAACUGCGACAUCCUGUGGAGGAUUUGAUGAAUCGAAGGCUACGUCCGAAAAGUUUAUAUGAUUCUCCUGAAAAGAUGGAGGCUCCUGUAUACUAUUCUCGUAAAUCUGAUGAUUUUAUUGAGAAAUGCAUUUUCAGAUCACCAGACUCUGACAGCUUAACAGUUGAUGAAAAUCGGAAACAACUGCUUCACACAAAAGAAUUCUUGGAAGAAAGUAAUUUUUCUGGGCAGUCAUCAGAAACCCAAUACCUGACGCCGAAUAAAGGAAAUCGACGGCAACCUCAUGAAUAUUUUGAGGGUGAAAUUUUUGAUCUAGCUCCGGAUCCAGCCGAUGUUCCUGAAAAUUUCAAGAGCUGUGAAAUAUGGCGGCCAAAACCGCUGAAAUCUCUCGACAGACGAGUAAAAUCCUUACGUGAUUUUACCACCAAAACCGCAUUUCUGAGCCCUCUACCUCCAAAAUACACUGACGUCGAUCGAAAUUCCACAAAUACAAGAAGCCCAUCGAGCGAUAUUCGGAGAAACGCGACAUCAACCUCUGACUUCCCAUACACGCCUCUCUCCAAAUUUGCAUCUAAACUUGAUGAAGGGCCUUUAAAAAGUCAGGCGUUAACGUUGCCUGAAUUAACCCUGAAUUUUCAAGAAUCGGACGAUCGCAGUUUUGGAUGUCCUGAUGACGAAUGGAGCAAUCCUUGGAUAUAUUCGAGCGAUUUUUUUGAGUCAAAUUAUAAAACUUUACAAGCUGUUAAUGAAGUCAAAAGCCAAGAUUUUGAUUUAAAAGCGGAUAUUGAGCCAUCGCCUCCUGAAGAGUUAAGUUACGUUGAGGAAAUGGAUGGCCCCCGGAAUUUUUCGAUGACCCCUGAUUUUGGCACAAAUUUUGAGAAAGACGUGCCUCCCUCCUUGGAUAAAACUUAUUUCUUCAAUUUUGAGCAGCCAUGCAAAGAGAGCUUUCAAUUCGACGAUAGUAGAAUAAAAUCACUCCCGGUAAAGUUGGGUGAACACAUGUCAGCGGAUUUUUCUAAUUCUCAAACCCAAAAUUUACCCCAAAACAGUGGUUUGGAGUAUUUUAGAAACUCCAACGAGGAAAAAGCGAUUUUCCGCGACACAAGUGAUUACAGUGCAGCCUCAUCCUUCGACCACACUUUCGAUUAUUUUCAUGACGAGGAUGCAUACUUGAUGCCACUAGAAAGACUUGACGAUGUAAGCACUACUGAAUCAAUGAAUUUGUUUGACACUUUCAUCGAAGCGGACAUUGCGCCGAAAGAACUAGAUAUUGUUGAAACAACAUAUGCAAAUGAUUUGGAAAAUCCAGCUGAAACCCAAAUUGGGUAUGAGAUGAAUCCAAUUUUAACACCGCAGAAACAUACUCCGGGAAUUUUCGAUAUAACUUCCUCGCCUGUUCCAAAGACUAGCGGUGAGGUUGAUGUGUCUGAUGAAAUUUUUAGAAAAAUUCCACGGAGUAAUCUCAGGUUUGAUGAAAGUAAAUCUAAAUUAUCGAACGAAAAAACCUCGGAAUGUUUCAAACCAGGCCUCGACCCUGAUUCUUUUCGGCUAAGCUUAAAUUCUACUGAGAUGUCCAGACACUGUAUUUCUAGCGGAGAAGGGAUCGCUCCUCAAUUGAAUCUUGUAUCUAUCGCACCAGAAUCCGCAGAUCAAGAUGUAAUUGAAAGCAUCUAUGAUAAGAACUCGUAUUCAGGAAUAUUUAGCAGUGAGCCUUCUUAUAUGUUGCUUAAUCUUGACAAAGAUCCCGACCUGAAAACUGGUGAAGUGUCUUCCUCGAACACCCACGCAUCCCUCACUGCUGUAAACCCUCAGCCUCCGAGCCCUGAAGUUUCAAAUAAUUUUGAAAGUUCUAUCGCAGAAACGGGAAAGCAUGAGAAAUCUCGCAAGAUCAGUAGAGGAACACAUGACUUGCAUUCAGCCGCGGAAUCAAAACAAGAAACUGCCGAUAGUGAAGACAGUGAUUCCACUCAAAACACAAACAGAAAUUCCAAGACUGAUCACGCCACCUCAAACUUGAGUAGGUCAGCGCCUCGGUUUUCCGCUAGUGUAACGGACGAACUGAUUGCCAGUCAAAACAAAUCGACGAGUCUUGAUGUAACUCCAACGCCACUCGAUGUUAAGACAUUUCUUCCGGAUAAUGUCAAGUCUCUGCUGGGCGGUAUUAAUUUGAAAAACAUGAACAUGUCUGAAAUCUUUCGUAACGCGAGGAAGCGACUGUCAGCCUCAAAUCUGCGAUUGGGAAAAUUGGACGAUUUCAAACCGAGGAAUUCGGUGCUUUUCUUGAGGAAGAUGCGGUUCCUAAAUGUGAGCUGA